rnacentral:rRNA from 1 species
CCUGGUUGAUCCUGCCAGUAGUCAUAUGCUUGU